rnacentral:rRNA from 2 species
UGCGACCCCAAGUCAGGCGGGACUACCCGCUGAGUUU